rnacentral:rRNA from 1 species
AACGAGCGCUGGCGGCGUGCCUAACACAUGCAAGUCGAACGAGAUCUUCGGGUCUAGUGGCGCACGGGUGCGUAACGCGUGGGAAUCUGCCCUUUGGUUCGGAAUAACGGUUGGAAACGACUGCUAAUACCGGAUGAUGACGAAAGUCCAAAGAUUUAUCGACAGAGGAUGAGCCCGCGUAGGAUUAGCUAGUUGGUGUGGUAAAGGCGCACCAAGGCGACGAUCCUUAGCUGGUCUGAGAGGAUGAUCAGCCACACUGGGACUGAGACACGGCCCAGACUCCUACGGGAGGCAGCAGUGGGGAAUAUUGGACAAUGGGCGAAAGCCUGAUCCAGCAAUGCCGCGUGAGUGAUGAAGGCCUUAGGGUUGUAAAGCUCUUUUACCCGGGAUGAUAAUGACGGUACCGGGAGAAUAAGCUCCGGCUAACUCCGUGCCAGCCGCCGCCAGUAA